ensembl:lncRNA
GUGACCACAAGUCUUCUGCAAGUGCUGAAAAGCAGUUUGCUGCCCCUGCAUCACCAGCUGUGCAGACACGUUUAGUACCUGUGCUCGACGGACGGUGAGCAGCCACCUUGUGCUGAGUGGUACCUGGGGGGGAGACUGAGCAUGCAGCCUCUGCUAGGUGCCAUGCAUGCCUUAUUCUGAUGUAUACAAAGGCUGAUGGGAUCCGGCCCAAAGGUGUAGGUGGGAGAAUCAUUACAAGAUGAUGUGCUGGGCUCUGCUUUAGAAGCUGGGAUUUAUGUUGGAGCUCUUCCUUCUGACCUGGAGCUGCCUUGCAAGCUGCCAUUGCUCUGACUUUCUCAAUGGAACCUCAUGGGUGGUGAAGUGAGUUGAGAAAAUCCAAACCAAAACUGCUUAAAGAUGCCUCUUCUGCCCUGCCUCGUGUUGGAAGAACUCCUCAUAUCUGUGCCUGCCUCUUCUCCAUGGUGGUUUUAACACCAGGACUGCCACACCACUCUGGCUGAGGCAACAAGGAAGGCCACAACCUAACUGUAUUUUAAAUAACCACGUAAUGCUUCAGUAUCUCAACUACUUCUUGUGAAGCAGCUUCUAUCAUAUCUGAAAGAUGAGUUAUAAUUUGGAGAUUGGCCUUGGUGAUCUCCAGAGGUCCCUUUCAACCCUUAUGGUUCUGUGGUUAUCAGUCGUGGGUAUUUUGAAUACUUAAGUUUGAGAAGACGUGGGAACUGACGACUUCUGUCCUUCGAGGAGAUGGCAUGAAUUACUGCAAUUGGAAAAUAAUUAAGAAGCAAUUACAGAAACAAACAGAAAUCCUGUGCGUACAGCCAGGCCAUUAAAAUAUGUUCUCUAAGAAAUUACCACAGCCACGCUGGAAAGAAAAGCGACAUUUAAAUAAAGUUAUGGUUAUAACAAACUAAAAAGGAAGAAAAAACCAAAGCAAUUCGUGCUGGAAAGACAAGCAUUGGCUGCUAUGCGACUGUGCUGUAAACGUGAGUGUGUGCAAGUGGGACACGAGGGGGGAACAGCUUCAUGCCUCCCUUCUCCAGCAAGCAGCACUGUACCAUUGCACCAGUGAAAUAAGUCAUCAAGAGUGACCAAGGGACUCAAAGUGUUCCGUAGGCAGCCAUCAUCUUGCUGCUUGCAGAGCGUGCAGGAGACUGCAUAUAAGCCCAGCAUCAGUCCUGCAGGAGUCAGCAGCCAGGCACAGACUGGCUCCUGGUGCUGUCUGAUGGAGAGUGGCUGCUGGGUGGAAGGAGCUGCUGUUCCCUCCUUUGGACCCAGAGUAACUUUUAAAUCAUUCUGGGAAGAAAGGAAUGGCAUAUUUGGUGUCUCAGAUGUUCCUCGAGCAGUACGACCUGCACAGAAGUGACAUAUAGUGGACACAAAACAGCUCCUCAAUUAGGGAGACGUAGGGGCAGAAUCACAUCUCCCCAGCAGAACUCAAGAAGCCCUUCUUAGCACUACCACUGCGCAACCGAAGGUAUUUGAUCUGAAGUAUGAAGAAUGAUUUAAUCAGACAGAUUAACCUACCUGGUGCAUCUGAAACACUUCCAUUCCAUCGAAGUCCAUCAACAACAUAGGCUUUAAGUGGAGUUUUAAAAAGUUUAUGAGAAGAAUAUGGAAGGAAUAAGGAGAGUGACAAUUCAGCACGUUUUAGCUCACGUGCUUCUGCAGCAGAAGGUACAGCACUGGGAAUGGGGGCACUGCUGUGACUGACCCCACCACAGGACCUGGCCACCCCAGAGCAUAUUUUCAAGGACUAAUUUCAAGUGUACACGUUAUAAAUCUGCAAACUAUCUCUGUGAGCCGUGCAUGCUUUACAUCCCUUCAAUCCCAUUGCCUAAUAUUAGUGAAAGUGACAAGACAUUAACUGCAUAUUAAUUGAAUUUUUCACGGAUGAUUAAAAUACAGAAACUGUGCAACAGAUUUCUCCUUUGAGGUGUAAUAAAAGUGAA